AGGGAGUGAGGGCGCGGGUGCUAAGGUCCGUGUCCGAGAGGAGAAGAAUCCAGACCACCGGCUAAGGCCCCCAAAUGAUCGUUGAGUUGAACUAACGAGGUCGGAUCGCAGAGACAGCUAGGAUGUUGGCUUGGAAGCAGCCAUUCAUUUAAAGAGUGCGUAACAGCUCACUAGUCGAGCGAUCUGGCGUGGAUAAUAAUCGGGCAUAAACGAUCUGCCGAAGCCGUGGAUGUCGUAAGACAUGGUAGGGGAGCAUUCCAUGCGGCGUCGAAGAUGAGGGAUGACCCUUGUUGGAGCGCAUGGAAAAGCAAAUGUAGGUAUGAGUAACGAUAAGGGGGGCGAGAAACCCCCCCGCCGAAAGACCAAGGUUUCCUGAUCAACGCUAAUCGGAUCAGGGUGAGUCGGGACCUAAGGCAAAGCCGAACGCGCCGCCGAUGGAAGAAUGGGUUAAUAUUCCCAUACUGCCUCAUGGAGUGACGUGGAGACGGAGAAGUGACAGUCCUGCCGGCUGACGGAAUAGCCGGUUGAAGGGUGUAGAUAUUGAUUCCCGUAGGCAAAUCCGCGGGGAGAGUCGAACCUGACAGUAUACCGAGUACUUGUACGAGGUAAUAUGGACGUAACCAUGCUCCCAAGAAAAUCCGCUAAACUUAUCCAUGCGGCACCCGUACCGUAAACGGACACACGUGGUCGGGUUGAGAAUACUGAGGCGCUCGAGUGACUCACGGUUAAGGAACUAGGCAAAUUGACC
rnacentral:rRNA from 2 species